rnacentral:rRNA from 1 species
GGGGAAUAUUGGACAAUGGGGGCAACCCUGAUCCAGCAAUGCCGCGUGUGUGAAGAAGGUCUUCGGAUUGUAAAGCACUUUCGACGGGGACGAUGAUGACGGUACCCGUAGAAGAAGCCCCGGCUAACUUCGUGCCAGCAGCCGCGGUAAUACGAAGGGGGCUAGCGUUGCUCGGAAUGACUGGGCGUAAAGGGCGUGUAGGCGGUUUACACAGUCAGAUGUGAAAUCCCCGGGCUUAACCUGGGAGCUGCAUUUGAUACGUGUAGACUAGAGUGUGAGAGAGGGUUGUGGAAUUCCCAGUGUAGAGGUGAAAUUCGUAGAUAUUGGGAAGAACACCGGUGGCGAAGGCGGCAACCUGGCUCAUGACUGACGCUGAGGCGCGAAAGCGUGGGGAGCAAACAGGAUUAGGAUACCCUGGUAGUCCACGCUGUAAACGAUGUGUGCUAGAUGUUGGGUAACUUUGUUAUUCAGUGUCGCAG